GCAAGUUCGAGGGGUAACAUUAGGUGCUUGGACUAGAUGACGACCGGCCCCACGGGAUGCGUAACGCGUAUAGAAUCUACCUUUUACAGGGCGGAUAGGCCUUUAGAAAUGAAGAUUAAUAUCCCAUGGUAUUGCGAAGUGGCAUCGCUUAGUAAUUAAAGAUUUAUCGGUAAAAGAUGACUAUGCGUCCUAUUAGUUAGUUGGUAAGGUAACGGCUUACCAAGACAUCGAUAGGUAGGGGUCCUGAGAGGGAGAUCCCCCACACUGGUACUGAGACACGGACCAGACUCCUACGGGAGGCAGCAGUGAGGAAUAUUGGGCAAUGGAGGCAACUCUGACCCAGCCAUGCCGCGUGCAGGAAGACUGCCCUAUGGGUUGUAAACUGCUUUUAUACAGGAAGAAACACUGCUACGUGUAGCAGCUUGACGGUACUGUAAGAAUAAGGACCGGCUAACUCCGUGCCAGCAGCCGCGGUAAUACGGAGGGUCCGAGCGUUAUCCGGAAUCAUUGGGUUUAAAGGGUCCGCAGGCGGUCAAUUAAGUCAGAGGUGAAAUCCCAUAGCUUAACUAUGGAACUGCCUUUGAUACUGGUUGACUUGAGUCAUAUGGAAGUAGAUAGAAUGUG
rnacentral:rRNA from 1 species